rnacentral:tRNA from 1 species
GGAGAGAUGGCUGAGUCUGGCUGAAGGCGCUCGCCUGGAAAGCGGGUAGGCGGCAACCCCGUCUCGGGGGUUCGAAUCCCCCUCUCUCCGCCA